UUGUGGAGGAGGACGCCGAAGGUGGGGCUAAUGACUGGGGUGAAGUCGUAACAAGGUAGCCGUACCGGAAGGUGCGGCUGGAUCACCUCCUAACAGGGAGACAACAAAAUGUUUAAUAUUAUUAUUUUGUCACCUUAGGUCGAUCGGUAUCUCACGUUCUUAAUUUGUUAAGAAUUUCAUUUCCUAAGUUUUUCUAGGUCACACCCAUUAUUUUUCCUGGGCCAUUAGCUCAGGUGGUUAGAGCGCACCCCUGAUAAGGGUGAGGUCCCUGGUUCAAGUCCAGGAUGGCCCAUAUCUCUAUGUUGGGGGUAUAGCUCAGUUGGUAGAGCGCCUGCUUUGCAAGCAGGAUGUCAGCGGUUCGAGUCCGCUUACCUCCACUGAUUACCACCUCUUCCAUAACCGGUAGAAAGGAAAUGUUUUGAGUUGUGAUUAUUAUUCUGAACGAAUCUAGCUUCCUAAUGAAAUUAUUAAGAUGCUGGACUUAUUGAAUUAAUUUCAUUGUUUUCAGAGAACCUUGACAACUGCAUAGAUUAUUUUUAAAGACAAUAAGCAUCUUUAAUGAUGCAGAUUUAUUAUUUGUGCGAAUGCAUUAAUAACAAUUCUAUUAAGCUGAUGCUUCAAUUAUGAAGUUAUUGGUCAAGCUACAA
rnacentral:misc_RNA from 1 species